rnacentral:rRNA from 1 species
GACGAACGCUGGCGGCGUGCCUAAUACAUGCAAGUAGAACGCUGAAGAGAGGAGCUUGCUCUUCUUGGUUGAGUUGCGAACGGGUGAGUAACGCGUAGGUAACCUGCCUGGUAGCGGGGGAUAACUAUUGGAAACGAUAGCUAAUACCGCAUAAAAUUGAUUAUUGCAUGAUAAUUAAUUGAAAGAUGCAACUGCAUCACUACCAGAUGGACCUGCGUUGUAUUAGCUAGUUGGUGAGGUAACGGCUCACCAAGGCGACGAUACAUAGCCGACCUGAGAGGGUGAUCGGCCACACUGGGACGGAGACACGGCCCGGACUCCUACGGGAGGCAGCAGUAGGGAAUCUUCGGCAAUGGGGGGAACCCUGACCGAGCAACGCCGCGUGAGUGAAGAAGGUUUUCGGAUCGUAAAGCUCUGUUGUAAGAGAAGAACGGGUGUGAGAGUGGAAAGUUCACACUGUGACGGUAUCUUACCAGAAAGGGACGGCUAACUACGUG